CUGAUCCUUGGGUGCACCUAGGGAAGCAACGCUGGGAGCAGUGAGAGGCUAUCCUGGGUACAGGGGCCGCAUUCUUUGGCUCAGAAUGUCAAAACAGUUCUAACAGGCUUUCCUAAUCCAAGCACAACAAGUAAAAGAAAUAUCUCAAGCAAAUCAAUGAUGGUGACCAGAGAAGUGUUAGGGAAGAUAGCAUAUCCAGAGACUCAGAGAAAUAUGCUGAAAUGGUCACCAUUCACUGGUUGUCACAGAAAUGACAAUGAUUACAAGGUAGGAAGGAUGUUGAACACCAGACAAGGAAGAUGAGGUCUCAGUGCAACAGGUGACCCUCUAAUAACUUACAAAGUGGUCUGUACCUUGUGUAUAAGCAAGUUGGUGGCUGGGGGUGUCGAUUACUGCUACCUACUUAGCUUGCAGAUAAAUGAUGCAGGUAGCUUUGAUUCAGUCUGGCUCAUCAAAGGACCACAUCCUCUGGUCAUGACCAUGGUGACCUCUUUCAGUUGUGAGGGCUUCAAUUGCAACUUUGGGGUGUUGAAGGGUGGGAAUGAGAAGUUUCAGAUGAGAGAAAAGACCUAUCAACCAGGACAUUUUUGACAGAGACAAAGAGAAGUUGCAUAGAAACUAUAUCAUUUGAGAUCUAGAAAUGCAGAUAUAUCAAAGAUAUAAAAUGCUUCCUUUAAGUGAACAGGUGAAAGUUCUUGAAUUAAUAAUGAAUAAAAAUAUUUAACACUGAAGUUGCUAAGAAAGAAUCUUCUAUAUGUGAAAUUGUGAAGAAGGAAAAAGAAAAUAAUGAUAGUUUUGCUGUCACACCUCAAAUUGCAAAGUUAUGACCACAGUGUAUUCCUAACUGCUGAGUCAAUAUGGAAAAGGCAUUAAGCAAUUGGUUCAGUAUUAUCACAGUUUUAGACAUCUGUUCUUGGGAUGUGUCCCCUAAGAAUAAGGAGGAGCUACUGUAUUAACAGUUCCAUCUACCAGUUGGGAGAUAUUUUUGUUGGAAUUUGGUUCCUAAAGUCUCCAGGUUAAUUGACAUCAUCCAUUUGUUCUUUUAGACUGAUUAGACUUAAAACUCACCCAAGAUCUUUCUUUUGAAUAUUUUCUAAGUGGGUGUGGUGGUGCACAUCUGUAAUCCAAAUUGAGACUCAAGCGAGAGGAUCACUUGAGCCCUGGAGUCCAGCCUGCAAUCUGGGCACACAUAAAUGACAUUUUUCAGCUUCCCUUAAAGUAAUGAGUAGCCACGUCAUCAUGUGCUGCUGGCCAAUGGUGUGUAUGGAGAAUUGGUUUGUAACCAUCCUUGAGUCAAGAGCCAGUGUAACUUCCUCCACCUUUUGCUUCUUCAUCUGCUGCAUUGAUAUCGGGUAGCCAUGUGUACCAGACAAUAUAGCUGGAGUAGAAGCUGCCUACAGGAGGAGAACUUCCAAGGAGAAACACACAGCCUGCAUUUUGCUGUUUUUUUCUGGCUUUAAGAGACUAAAACUUUGUGUUUGGUUGUUACAGCAGCUGUCAUGAAUUACCAUGAUAUAUUGGUAAUCUAUUAAUAUGUCUUAUCUAAAUUCUCCAAUGUAGUGCUCAGUUAUUUACUGUAUUUCAUUGUUAUUAUUCUGAAGAAUGUUUUACAGCAAAAUGAAACUCAAUAUUAUAUAUUUGAAAAGAUUAUCAUAGAGAUUGUAGCUUGGUAAAUUGUAUUGUAUGCCCUAUUAAGAAUUCAGAGAAGAAAUUUCUCUUAGUUCUAUUAAUAAUAAAAGAUCACUUACUUA